GGCAGCCAAUCUGGGAUUAACUCAGGCCACACUUCGAGUCUGCUUUUCCCUUCUGACCCUGGUAGCCCUGUCUCUCCAGCACCAGAACUGAGGGACAACCAACUAGGCGGGAUGUGUUAGAAGUCACAGAAACCCAUGCCAACAGCUGGAGCGAGGGGUUUCCUCAAGAGAGGACAAGCGCAGAACACUGGACCCAAAAAGAUUCCAGACGUCUGCUCCUGAGCACUGUGUGGGGACCAAUCAGAAGAUGCCAUUCCCAGUCCUUCAUUUACAUAUGGGCACGCACAACCAAUCCAAAGACCGUUGUUUCUGAUCCUUCACUUACAACCGGCUAGAGGCCAAGCGAGGUUUUGAUAGGACCACUGUCCCAGGGCUGUGGAGGUGGGGCCGAGCCAGGUGUUCUGGGUGGAGAGAUCCCUUUCCCUUUGUCCUGGGGUCCCCGUGGGCCUUUUCACUGGCCAGCUCUCUCCCCAUAGACUGGACUUCUUUUCCACCUUCAACAAAACUACACCCUCACUGCCUCUUCUGCGGGUCUUUUCCAGUUCUUUGUUCUGGACACCGAGGACCAGGAAAGAAGCCCCUGGGACCCUCGCAUCUGGCAUCAGAACCAUUCUGCUUCCACCAACUUCCAAGAGAUGGUGAUACAGUGCCGAGGACGGAACCCAGAGCCUCUUGCGUGCCAGGCAAGUGCUCCACCACUGGGCAACCCUGCCCGAGACUUCUAAUCUCCAGAGGCCACGACGCCACUCAAUGCACCUGGACCAACAAGACAGAGCCACGCCUGUGACUACCCCGAAGGGAGGAGGGAAGGAAGCUGGGGGGGGGUCCUCAUCCCAGUAGGGGGUCUCGGGGAGACAUGACAUAACCCUGACACCAUGCUGUUUUAUUCUAUGCUUACUAAAAUGGAAACAAUCAUUUUGUGAAAAAUUUGGAAAGGACAGAGGGACGAGGAAAAUGACCAGUUACGCACACCGAUUUAAGCAUCCAAGGAGGUGUCUGAAUGCUCGGUCCUCUCUCCUUCCUCCUCUGUGUGUCUUAUCUUCCGUCCAUUCUAAGGUGCACAUUUUCCCUUCUGAGAUGGGGACAUUUACCAUCGGCGGUGUCUGACGGACAGCAUUUUUCUCUCCAAAUUGGGGCAUUACAUUGAUAACCAGCCAUGCAUCAGGACAGAGCGGAGGGCUGGUGUGUGCGCCAGAGCACGCACUUUUACAGCAAGGACCGUGCUGCUAAAUGACUCUUUGAAAACUGCUGGAGCCCAUCUCACCUGCACGUUCCACUUUUUCCAGCUCCAAGCAGGGUUAGUUCUGUUAUUCUGAGCAAUUCUGAUGCUCAAAGUUAGUCAUCCCAGAAUAGGAAGCACAAUGUAGAGAGAAACGGCCAAGGGGAAAAUGGUCCCUUUCUAGGAGAACACUUAUUCUGAAACAAAAUAUACCGAUAUGUAGAACUGCUAAUGAGGAACAUUUGCUUCCUACUAGGCAGCGGCUGCCCCUGGAUGCAUCUGGGGCAAGGACCAGGUGCAGGCAGAGGAUGAAGGUGCAAAGCAGGGCUCCCAGGAACAACUGGAAGCCCCAGCUGGCCCCUCCCAUUUCCACAUCUGUGCUCUCCCGCGCCCCCUCACCCCUAACUUGCCAGCGCCCUGCCUUCCUGCAAUACACACCCAGCCUCGGAAAGCCCCCAAGAGCAGGUGGGAUGUGGGACGGGACGGGGGGGCCCAGCUGGGUCUCAGCUCUGUUGUGGGCCUGGCCACGUGGACACGGCCGGGCAGGGGUCUUCCAGGGUGGGAUGCGCUCAGCCCCGAGGAGGGCAGGAGUGGGGUGCUUAAAGCAGCCCUGUGUCCCCCUGUCUACUUCUCACGGUGCUGGGGCUGGGACCUGCGCUUGGCACCCGCCAGGCAAGGGCUCUGCCACAGAUCUCCACCCCGGCCCCAGUCCUUCUGCUUCCAUCUGCUUUCCCACAACAUGUUGGUUUUGUCAUUUCAAGCAGCAGUGAAGGCAAGCAUGGAGGUUUUUGUUUGUUUGCUGCUAGUUGUUCGGGUCAGGAAAGGGAUUUAAAAAGAAGGGCCCUGACCUGAACGCUGCUUCAAAUUUCACUGCCUCUAAAUCCAAAUGACUGUCCAUGCCAGAGGCUCACUGGUGACUGUCUCCAGCCCCUCAACAGGGCCACUGAAUCCCUGUCUUCCCUGGAGUCCGGCCAACCCUAAAAGAGGGAAGGAGGCCUGUGUACCCCAGAGGACCCGGCCCGGAGUGUGGAAAGGAACUGGACAGAGCGUGAGGUCCUGUGGGCGCCCAGCUGGUGCGGACGGCCUCUCGCUCGCCUCUGCCUGCUGGGGAGAUGGACGUGAAGCCAGAACUCAGGGUGCAGGGAAGCCAGGAGACCUGGAACACGCGCCCCCAGGAGACCCCACAGGUGCCAUCAGGGAUGGGGGCCAGGCCCUGCCUGCAGGGCAGGAGACGCCAUGGGUUCCCAAGUCCCAAGCUGGCCGAGCACCAGCCCUGACGAGGCCCCCAGACCUCAGGGCCUCGGGCCCAGGACACAGCAAGUCACUGUCCUCCUGUCCCAGCCUCCAGCCCCCACUAUUACUCAGGGGCCUCUUGCCUAGGCACUACCAGCUCAAGAUGCCCACUCGCCUUGGCCCGUGUCCCCUCCUGGAGCGGGGGCUCUCCCUGUAACAACACCACCUGUGCUGUUUCCAGCAUAGGCCGGGGUGGAUGGGGCUCCUCUCCAGCUUCAUGGUCUACUCAGCUCUUCCUUAGUCUUCUGCAACCCUAACACAGAGUUUUGCAUUUCAGAUAUUGUAUUUUCCUGUUCUAGAUUUCCAGUUGGUUCAUUUUUUUCCCUCCCCAAGACAGGGUCUCACUAAUGUAGCCCAGGCAGGACACAAAUUCUCAGCAAUCCUCCUGCCUCAGCUUCCCUAGUGCUGGGAUUUUAGGUGUGCACCUCCACGCCCGGCUCAGUGGGUUCAUUUUUAGGAACCGUUUCCACUCCCUCCUGAGAUUCCCCUCUGUCUACUGUCAUGCCUGUCUUUCCUGUCAAACCCCACAGAUGUAAUGGCUGCCUGUGGCUUUCUCCAGCAAUUCCCUCACCUGGGCCCUCUCCACUGCUCUUGGCCACGUUCUUGUUUGUUCUGUUUCCUUGAUGAGGAGCCACAAUUUCCUGUUUCUUAGCAAGUCUGGUGAUUUCCUAUUCUAUGUUGGACACUGCAGAUCGGGGGGGGGGGGGUGUCUGGAUUGGUUCUCCCCUUAGAGAUCUGAGUUUUGUUCUGGAAGUUUCUUCUAACCCUCUCAGGCUUGUUCUUAUUGUUCAUUAUUAAGCUGCCUGCUCUGAUUUUCUCCCCUGUCCUGGAGUGUCACCCCCAUUCUAACACACAGCAACCCCUCCCAGUCCCUCUCUGCGUCCCCUGCAUCCCACAGCCCCGGGGCCUGGUGCUCUACCAGCCCAGGGCACGGGAACCCGACUGCAGAGGGUGCAGCAGGCAGCAGGUGAGUCACCAUAGCAACCAACCAUUUCUGCGAAACAGCUGGAAUCCACUGCUGCUGAUGAUGUAGAGGACAAUGCCCUGCUCAGGUUAUUAUUGUGCUAGCCACAGGCAGAGGUCAGGACCAAGAGCUGCCUCGGUGGCUUUCCAAUAGUGCCCACUGCACAACUGCCAGUGUCCCCACGGGAACGCAGGGGCCCUGAAGCUGGUGGGGCCCCUCUGCUCUGCUCCUUGAGCUCCUGUGUCACCGUGCGUAAGCAGCUGGCACAGCGCCCUCGGCCCAAGUAGCCUUCCCUGGCUCCACUGCUAGCUAGCUCUGCACCUCCCGAACAACUCACCAGCAAGGGGAAAGGCCUCCCUGAGGACAGGUCCCAGAGAUGGGGAGGGCACAGCACCUGCAGCAGGGGUUGUGGCUGGUGAACCACAGUCUGAUUCGGCCACGUCCAUGGCGAUCAGAAGUUAUUUGGAACCCUGUGCUUGCUUUGCGCGUAAGACCUGCAGUCCGGGAUCAGACUGGAAGUCCCUUUCAGACCAGUCCCUACCUCUGGGCUACUCGGUGCUAACUUGGACACUGGCUGGCGUGAGGGGCACGGAGUGCAGAGCGGUUCCAGGAUGGACAGAACCAACUGGUGCGGUGCCCGGGUGACUGGUGACAGCAGGCAAGGCCCUGCUCCCACCCUCAGGCUCUGACUGCAGCCCUGAGUACAGAGGAGCCAGCAGGCACCCGAGGCCCAGCUGGUCCAAAGCCCUGGGUUCUGGACAAGAGCGAAGGCCAGGGCUCACGUUCUCACUGUGAUCGGGGCUGCAGGGAGGCUGAGCACCCAGCGGUUGGGUUCUCACCUUCUCUGGUGUCCCCCGGCCUCCUCUUGGGGACUGGCUGUUCCCGCACUCCGUGUGGGUGACUCCCUGUCCCCCUGGAAUCCCCUGCUCUCUGAUGGAGAGCUGACAGAACCACGUGGUGAAGGCGCCGUCUGCCCUCCCUGACAGAACUGCGGAGGUAAUGCAUGUGACUUCUGACCUCUGUGGUGUGAAAGGUCCACCGCAGGAAACCAGGUGUACAGACCCAGGCCUGGGCUGAAAGCUCUUUGAGACUUGGGGAAGAAGCCAGCGCACGCACACACACACACCGCGGCUGUGCGCCAGCCACUUUCAAGGGGAGAGUCACCUGCCGCCGAGGUCUCAUGAAAGAAAAUACACAUUCGGGUGCUGUCUGUAAAUGCUGAGAACCUUAUGAACUUUCCCUGAGCCCCAGUUUAUGCGCUCACUGGCUUCCUGUUUGUGCGAGCCUAAUAAAAGUGAGGAGCACUGUCAGCACGGGGCUUUUGUCCACAAGAGGCAGAGUCCACGGGCCCUCCUCUUCCAAAUCAUCCUUGCAUCCUUUGCUUUAGGACUCGUUUGUCCCCUGGUCGGGGAGAAACUCGAAGGCUGGCCUCCUACAGGCCACGGAGACCUUGGGUGACCACUGUCCUAUAGGUAACUGGGGCCAAGGCUCCUGCUUCCCACCUGCCCACCCUCACCUUCACUUGCCCUACCCCCAGGCACCCCAGAGGGGCUCCCCAGCUCCCAGGAGACCCCAGAGGGCAUCACUGGGGGGCGCCGUGGGCC